UACGUAGGUGGCAAGCGUUGUCCGGAAUUAUUGGGCGUAAAGCGCACGCAGGCGGUCCUUUAAGUCUGAUGUGAAAGCCCACGGCUCAACCGUGGAGGGUCAUUGGAAACUGGGGGACUUGAGUGCAGAAGAGGAAAGCGGAAUUCCACGUGUAGCGGUGAAAUGCGUAGAGAUGUGGAGGAACACCAGUGGCGAAGGCGGCUUUCUGGUCUGUAACUGACGCUGAGGCGCGAAAGCGUGGGGAGCAAACAGG
rnacentral:rRNA from 1 species